rnacentral:rRNA from 1 species
UACGUAGGGGGCAAGCGUUGUCCGGAAUCAUUGGGCGUAAAGCGCGCGUAGGCGGCUCGGUUAGUCCGUCGUGAAAGUCAAAGGCUCAACCUUUGAAUGCCGAUGGAUACUGCCGAGCUAGAGUCCGGAAGAGGCGAGUGGAAUUCCUGGUGUAGCGGUGGAAUGCGCAGAUAUCAGGAGGAACACCAAUAGCGAAGGCAGCUCCGCUGGGACGGUAAGCUGACGCUAA